CCGGGGCGGGGCUAAGGGUAGGGGUGGCCCCUCGGUGGCAGCUCCGUGCGCCGCCCGGCCUGUCGCCCACACCGCGCGGUGCGCUCCGUCUGCGUGUUCGUCCACCUGGGCGCCCCUCUGCGGCCGAGUCCCAGCCCCGCACUCCGGGACCUGCCCGUGCUCCUCGCCUCCGCGGCCCCUUCGGCGGGGGAACCAGUACAGAGGACCCUCGCCCAGCGAAAAGCCCUCCCAGGCCUCGCGGAUAAGCGCCGGGCGGCGAGAGUGCCCCGGGGGUCCCGCUGACCCAGCGCAGCACAGGGCAGCCGCCGGCCCCGCUCUCGUCCUCGGGACCACCCCACCACCAGCACCACGUGCGCAGCGGGUCCAGCCCCAAGGUUUCCUGGAUGUCCCCGAGUCCUCGCCUGCGCCUGGCGAUCAGUGCCUCUGCCAGGCCCAGAGGUGGCUGGAAGAGGCUGCUCCCUAGCAGAAGACGUCAUUCCGAUGUGGUGUGCCCAGAAGAUGCAGAGGGUGAGGAGAGCGGCUCAGGAACUCAUGCUACCUGGCAGCCCUGGCCGCGGGCGUGUCCCUGGUUUCCCGGUGGUUCCCCAACCUCCGGAAAGGAGAGAACCAGUCCCCCGGCCCCUCCCGCCCACCAGGAUUCCGUCUGUAAGACGGAAGCCAGGAGAUGGCCAGGAAGGACAACCUGAACGCAGGCAAGUGGAGUGUCUUGACCCAGUAACAGACAUCAGAGGCCACCCAUCCAGGCGGAAAGCCAUCUCCAGUGGAGGGCCGAUCAGGGGCCAUCUGCGAGGGCAGGUUGCUCCUUCUGUCCGAGGCGGGCUUGGAAAGGUCUGUGCAGGACGGUGCCAAGGCCUGGCCAGGGUUUGGAGCCAUUCAGAGCGCAGGCCCCUAACGGGUCACUGGGCCAAGGUGCUUGCGGGCUUGUGGCCUGAAGACCUUUGUCCUGGGACCGACACCAGCCUGGUGUCCUGGUGGCAUACCACUUGGGGACCCUUCUUCUUCUGGCUCAGAGGGAGCAAAGGCUGCGUGCGUUAGAACAACAGAACGACGAGAAGUGGGAAGACCUGUCCGUGGACAUCCAACUUAUGGAGGAAGGCACGCCGGACUCCGAGGGGAAGCUGGAAUUGACCAAAACAGCUCUUAACACUUUCGGGGAAAUUAGUGAAAUCUGUCUAAGGGAGUGUCUGAGCUGAAGGAGUCCCUGAAACUGUGUGCAGAAGAAAUCAAAGCUGGAAAACCUGCUUGUCAUCUUGGAAGGACACGCUUUAAAGAACUUGCCAGAGGACCAGGGCUCCCUGGACGUGGCCUGAGAUGAGGGCAGGGAGAGGGGACACCAAGGCUCCAGGUGCACCUCCUCCUGGGCGGUGGGCCCCUCAGCUCCUGGGCCUGUGGCUGGAGCUCAGGCGUCAUCCCCCAGGACUCCCCAAGGGAGCCCAGGCGGAGGGCGGCGAGCCGAGGACGGGCCAGCUCUGCCGAUGGGCUGUACCGACGUGAGUGCUGACGGAUCCAGGCUUUGAGAGGAGGCCAGCACUGCACCCAAGCGCCCCCGGAGAAAAGGAGCAUGGGAGACCACCAUGUGUGCAGGGUCCUUGGGCGGAGGCCUCGCCUCCCCUCCAACGGGUCACCUUCGACGCUUUGCAGGGAGCCCUGUGUUGCUGGUACAGGGAAGCCGGACCUCCUAGGACCGAGGGCCCCAGAACGAACAUCUAAAUGGAAAAUCCACUCCCUUCUCCACACGUCUGGAAGAGUGAAGACUUUCGUUGGGGUCAUGGUGCAGGCGCUGUGGGCAGACUGGGCGCCACACUUGCUAGUGACAGAAUCAGCCAAGUUUCUAGACGUUUUGAUUCCUUUCCCCUUCUGUUGUCAGUAUUCAUAUGCACAUGGCUUCCAUUUAUUUUUCAGGACAAACCAGUUAUUAAUGGAAACAACCUUGGCAGCCGGAGCAAGUGUCCUGACGUGUUGGGUUAUCAUUUUAUGCACCAGGGCACAACUGGCUGAGCACGGGCCCAGGAGGUCUGCUCAUGCCCCUCCCUGGUCCCCACUGACCCUCUGGGUCUCGUCUAAUGGGGGUCACCCUGGAUUUGCAUCCUCCAAGAUGCAGCAAGACCUUCUGUGACUUUAGCACAGAAUUCUAAGCACGGGGCCAUCUUGGCCACAGCUGGAGUGAUUGACAAGCACAGUCCCACAGGGGAAAGGAGAGAACAGAACACCCACCUCCCUUCUCCUUAUGUCAGACCAUGCGGCAGGCCAAGGUCGCAAGGCCCCACGUCGUGUCUGAGGUGCUCCAUCCAGAGUCUGUCCUGAGGACUCGGAGAUGAUCUCACAUCACAAGUCCCUCGUAUUUUAUUUUACAACAAAUGAUAAUAUCACCAGGCCAGCUGCACCUUCCCAAAGGCUGGCCACUGCCCACUUGGUGUCCUCUUCAGUCCUCGUGUCCUCGUCCACUGCCUGGGUGGAGCUCCCUGCGCAGGAAGUCCACUGCGUCUGAUGGGAGGCCGGCCUCUCCGAGGUGCAGGGGGCAAGUCCUCUGUCCAGCUCAAGCCGGAAGUUCUUAGGGACAGUCCUGCUCACUCGAGGUGAAGCUCUGGUUGACUACGCUGAAGUCUAAACCGAAAACGUGUGCCGGCCACGUAGGGAAGCAGUGUCGCCUGAUCUCGAUUCCCC
rnacentral:lncRNA from 1 species